GGGUCGCGGCCGCGCGCGCGCGCUCUCCCUCUCUCCCCCUCUCCCCCUCUCCCCCUCUCUUCAGGGCUUGCCGGGAACCUCGCGUCUUAAGCUUGAAAGGGUCGUGUCUGUCCUUGGAGAGAGCGGCCCUGUUCCUCCCCAGCCCUGCCGCACGGAGGGACCAGGUGUUUCGGAGCAGUCGGAGCGCAGGCGCGCACGCUUGGGUGCCCCCCCCCCCCCAGAUGUGAGCUGUUACAACCCUUUGGGAAAGUAGUCCUUAAGGUUUGUAAGUGUGCCUGACCUUUGACCCAGCAGUCGGCCCUCUGGGAAUCUUCUAGAAGUAAAAGCAAUAGCAGGUCCUGAAGGAGUGUAAGGUAGAAGAAGAGUUAGAGGAUUCCUACCAGACAUCCAGGUGGAAAUGCCCGGCCUGCCCUUGGAUCUGUGAGUCUGGCACUUGCAGAAGAGGGCAGAACUAGGACUGUGAACACGCAGAUGGUUAAACCCACAGGACUGAUGAGAUGGGUCAGCAAGAAUAUCCACUGAGAAGAAGAGUAUUCCAAGGAUCUGCCCCUCUGAUGAAGAAGGUGAAUGAGGAGACCGAGAGGGGGCAGCCACUGAGGAUGGAUGGACAAUGUAGCACCUACCUCUUUGGGUUAGUCGGAGGAAGAAAUGAAAAUAUGCCUUGUCUACAGGAAAUACUCACGUGGAAUAAAGGUAAUGAGGGCUUCUGUUCAAAACUCUGUCCACAGCAUAGCACCUGAUUCUUCUCUAUUUAAAAUGAGGGGUGUGUAACACACCAUAUCACACAGUGAUGGGUCUGUCCGCCUCACUGCCUGGUGCAAACACAAAAACCAGGCUAGAAGUCUGAGGAAAGCAGGUCCUGAUAACUAAUAACAAAUGAGCCUAACGAAGGGUAAGCAUCCCACAGGUAUACAGUCUGUGGAUUUUUACAAAAGAACAGAUUAGUUCUUUUGAGAUUUAGGUCUCAAUCAGCUUGGACCAGAGCAGGCCAGUUAAGAAAGAGGAGGUGUAAACGUGCCUGGGGUAACACUCUUGUAAGUGCGUGUACUCUGGUAUAACUACUGUCUUGCAGGUAUUAGGUAUACA